rnacentral:misc_RNA from 1 species
UUGGCAAGAAAGAGUAAGGAUGAUAUAUCAUGCAUUGUGAUCCGUUUUGGUUGAGUAUGCUUAAAUAGCACAUUGCUAUUACCAAAGUGAAUGACCAUGGUUAGUGUCGUCCCUUUCAAUUAUGAGCUGGUUGGGUGUGUUUAAAGCUGGAAAUAGGGGACUAUAUGUGGGUCUCAGAGCUUUGAUUUGUGUAGUUUUUUUGUUAGAAAUUUUCAUGCUAGAGCAAAGUUAAGAUGGAAG